CUGUUUCGUUUCAGCUCUGAACUGGACUGUGGUUUGUUUCCAUAGGCACAGGCCAAGGCUCAGGGCUACGGUUUUUCAUCCUCGCAAGAUCCUGUGCUGCUGGGAGACGGCUUUAGAGCUGUUAACAUCCUGCGAGGGUCUUACACAGGCACCUGUGUAUGUGUGACCAUGUACUGCAUCGCAAACUGGUUGAGCUGCCUCUGGAAGAUUUAGAUAAAUAAGGAGCAAGAAGAUAUGUAAAAGGAGAAAAUCUGGAUGAAGCCAUCCAAACAACCAAAGGUGUUAGUCAAAUUUCAGUUUACAUCAAAAUUCAUCAUGACUUUAGGAGAACAGAAGGAAGAGAACCUCUGUCAAGUUUCAAUAUAAAAAAUGAGCUGUGACUUUGGGAGCUGUAGUAGCAGGAAACUCUAGGCAGAUCUAAAAAUGAUUAAUCACAGUGAAGAAAUCAAAUGGGGAGUGUGUUGCCAGUGUGCAAAAGUGUAGUAACUUCAGGGUCCUGUCGAUAGAAAUCAAUGUACAUCUUGUGGCGUCUGACACUUCACGACAGAAAACCUGUGUGAGGCUCUGGCAAGAACUGGCAGUGACUGGGAGCUUGUUUGGAAAAUGGCUCUGUCCCAUCCCAUUCCCGAGGGCUCGCUGUGGAAGGGUGACCGGCUCGGAGGAGAUCUGCUCCCCAAGGGUUUGGAGCAGCCACUAGGUGACGAUGUCGGGCUGGUUUCAGAGCCGUCUGACAAAGCUGUUCCUGGAGGUAAAGGAAACCCUCCAGGACUUCUGAGGUCCUGCCUGUGCUCAGUUUAUGUUCUCUUACGGACUGAGAUUGCCCCUUUUCCUUCAGGUUGUAAUUGCUGCUGAUUUAGUUUUGGUCUUUCGAUAAUUCGGAUUUUGGUAAGUGCAUCUGAAAAUUAAAUGACUGGGUUUUGCAGUUGCCUUGCAGACUCAGGGAAGUCAAACAUGGCCUCACUUCUAAGUGCUCUGCUGUCUUGAGGGCAGGCUUGGAUGGUGUGGCCAUUGCCACUUAGUUCUGCUGCUUUGCACUACUAUUGAUAGGAGAGGGUUACAAAGGUGGAUUUUAUUUGGAUGUGUCAGGUUCCGUAGUCCUUCUCUGUGGUCAUAAGAAGCAAGGUAUACAUCCUAGUCAAAACAUAAAUUAUUAAUUUAGAGGCAAAUCCCUUUCGACUCCUAAAGAGGAGACAAGAAAAACGAUUCAAGGAGCAUUAGGGAGGCUGUGAUCCAUCCAUGCUGACACUUCCUUUCCUAGAGAUCAAGGCCAUUAAAGGGCUUCAUGAGAAUUUUUUCCCCUGGACUAAGACGAAUGCUCUGGAUUUCCUAUUCCUUAAUAUUCCUCCAAGGGAAGAGGCCUCAAUCCACUUUUUCCAGACAAUGUCCUUAUGAAAUCAGCACCAUUCUACUCCCAGCUGCAGGUUGUCCGAGGCCUGGUGGUCAGACGAGGAAGUGCCAAGCAAACCCAAAUGAAUCCGACGGAGCUCCUGGGAGGCAGCUCAGAUUUGUUUGCCUACAGUGCCC